UGGAUGAGGAGCUGGCCUCACUAGCUUAGACAAUGAGGGCACAUCUUCCUUGUGCCAACAGAUAAAAGCCACUGUGAUCUGAGUCCUAUUCACAACUGGCAGAGGUGACAUCUGAUCCUCAAGCUUCAUCCAACAGGUAACUCCUUUUACCUGGCGGCUCUGUCUCCAAAAGAUGGUGCCAUGAAGGUAACUAGUAGUGUGAGGGUUGAUGAGACCACCAUUAUGCUGGAUAAAUACCGAACAUCAAGUGUGCAUGCCGGAGGAGCUCCGAGGGACACAGAGUGUUUCAUCCUAGCUUUCCAAAUAGCCUCGGAGAAUAGUUCAAACAUUCUGCCUACAAGGCCGUUUUGAGGCAAGAGAUAGCCCUGGGGAUCUUGUCAUGGCCACACUGAGACAGCAGCCUCCACCCUCGUAGGACCCAGUUCAGGAGCCUGGAGUGGAUUCCUCAGCUCCCCUUGUCACCUCAUGGCAUCACCCCCUUGCCUGCUGACAUCAGAUGUCAAAAUACUAGAAAGCUGCCAGUCGCUUUUGACUCUUCAUGUCUCUUCAGCCAUUUGAGAUCAGCCAUCUCUUUGCAUCACCUGUUAUAAAUUACCAGUUUGUUUUACCUUAAGGAAGUUCUUUGUCAGCCCUGUAAGAUGGCAAGUUCUUGAGACGAUGACCUUCCUUUCAUGUCGACCCAACCACCCCAAUGCUUCUGCCAAUUCCUGGCACAGUUGACCAAAAGACAGUCCCAGAAAACAACUCUGCACCCUCAAGAGCAUGAGCCUGAGCCUUUCACCGUGCAAGACGAAUGACCCUCACUUUGAUACUUGGUGCCACCUCUAACAAAAAAAAAUUACAAUAAUAUGACCGUGAUUCACUUCCAGGAAGUAAUUUGGAUAUGUGCCGAUGAGGAAUGUCUGCCAGCCUGCAGUGCAUUUGUCUUUCUUCUGCCCACCACAGCAAAUUCAGGAUCAUCUUGCCUUUAAGUCCUCAAGAAACCUCCAGCCAAGUAGGCCGAACACUGUGUCCUCACGCUGGUGGUGGCGGACACCUGCACCCGGAGGCCGGGACCGGACAGGGUCUCACUCAAGACGAGGCAGCGGCGGCUCCCGUGGAGGGGGGUGAAGAAGGGGAGAAGGGGGAACCCCGGGGCGUGUGUGAGGCCGAGGUGAGCAGAGCCCGGGGAGGGGGCGCUGGUGCGGGCAGGGGUCAGAGGAGCCACGGAAGCGCCUACGUCUUCCUUUCUCCCGAAGGGCGGGCAAGCCACGCACCCCAGCAUCACUCUGCAGCCUGCAGCGGCCUGGGGCUCACACGGCCGUGAGGGGGGCGCCCUGGGGCUGCUGGUCACCCCCGCCUCGCCUUCUGUGUCGCAGCCCCCAGGUGGCCCUGUGAGCGAGGCACCGAGCAGGAACGCUUCCCGGGGCGCAGCCUGGGGCCCGUGGGCUCCCCGGGAGGAGGGAGGACGGCCGGGGGCUGCGUCCUGCGUGACACCUGCCCCUGGGCCUGCAAGAGGGGCCUCCCGCCGGCCAGCACAUGUCAGAGGAGUCUUCCGGGCACCCCCCCACGACCACGGACGUGCUGCCAGGAAAAUGUCAGUGGGCGACAGCGCUCCUGGCAACCGGCGCUCCGCUUCUGAAGCCGCUGCCAGCCCAGGCGGUUUGCCUCCUGGACGAAGGCGCCGUCCGGGGGGUAUGCGGGUGGCCAGGGCCGCAGUGUGAUGACAGGACGCACCUGUGGGGAAGGGGAAGGCACGCGAGUGACUCGCAAGGACACCACGGGAGAGGAGGCCGGGCGUCGAAGGAAUAGGCGGUGGCACAGGUUUGGAUUCGUCCAAGUGCACUGUGAUGCCAGCAGCCUAGGCCACCUGCUCCUGGGAGCGCUGUAUCCUCCCCAACACCUGCACCAGCCAACCACCCCCGCUGCACCACUUCCAGCCCCUCCCCUGCAGGCAGUGGAAAAGCAAAAACCAAGACCCACUGUCCAGUCUGAACAGUCAAACCAUCUUCUGGAGUAUUUGGCAGAAAUUAUUUUCUCAGGCAUCAGAUAAGAAAUAAGCAGGAGAGACCAAUACUUCAUUCAGUUCAUGAUGAUUCUUACGGCAGAAAGAAAUCAACACGAAAUAAAAGUGACAGUGGCUAAAACGUGUAUGGUGAAGCUGUCAGAAAUAUUGAAAUCUUUUGGCAGACCCAAGUCUGUAAAAGCGAUCUAGAAAAUACUGAAACUGAAAAAUAUGAUGACGGCAAAUAGAAAGUGUACACUGGCAAAAGCUAAAGUUAGUAAUAUAUAUAUGUAUAUAUAUAUAUAAAUUUGCACAAAAAUACUGAUCUGUGAACCCUCACUGCAAAUUUGACUUGAGAGAGAAUUCAUCUUGGUGAAAAUAAUUUUGCUGAAUAAUUCCUUGCCCAACUUUCCGUACAACAGCUAAAUAUUUCCGUUGUUCCUAUUUUUGUUUUAAACGGAUCUAACCAGCUUUGUUCCCAGAAGUACUUUCUCCUCCAAAACUCAAUGUUGAUAUGAUUCUGUGUCAAAUAUUUGCAUUUAUAAAAUGUCAUCCGAGUGUUUAGAGAAUGGAAAGUACGAGGACACAACAACAGAAUCAAAGUACGGUAAACUAACUUCUAGUUCCAGUCAAGAUGGAAUAGACAGGCUUCCCCCACCCCCCGCCCCGACCCCUCCAGUAAGUACAGCUAAAAUCCACAGACAUGACAUGUAAAAUAAGCAUAUGACUCAAUGGUGUAAAGAGCAACGAGACUGGCUGGAACUGCGCCUGGAGAGGCAGCACAGUGGUGUGGGUCCCGGGUCCUUCCUUUAUUUCCUGUCCGUACUGAGUGAGGCACUGGACAGCUGUGCAGCCCUGACAUCCUCACAGACACACACCAAAAAUAAAACAAAACCCAAAGGCCGAAGAAAAGCUUUUCUUCUCCAGCCAAAGGACCAGGAAAGGAGUAACCUUUGACAUUACGGUCAAUCAUGGAUGACCGUGAUAAAAAAAUUUUGUUAAAUUCGACCUCAUCAAAAUUUAAAAUUCUAAACCCACGGCAGACUCUCUUAAGGGGACCAAAAAUCAAGAUGCAGACAGGGAGAAAGUCUUUGCGAAACGUACCUGGCCAAGCUCUCAAAGAAAGAAUGCUCCAAACUCAACCGUCAAAAGCGCAGAUAAUUCAAUCAGAAAAUGGACAAAAGGCCGAUAGUUCAGGACAGAGGAUGUGUAUGUGUGGGUGGCAAAUAAGCACAUUAAAAUAUGUUCAACAUCAUCACACAUUUGGGCAACGCAAAUUACACCCACGGCGAGGAAUUCCCGCACGUCUCCGGGAAUGGCGAAAAGUAAAAAUUUCGCCGAUUACCCGAUGCGCUCGUGGCUGCCGAGAAACUAGAUCUCUUAUUCGUUCCUGUGGGAAAUGCAGACGUACACAGGUUCUGGAAAACAGUGAGGCAGUUUUUUAAAAAUCUGAGCCUACUGGAUGACCCAGUAAUCACAUUCCUGACCAUGUAGCCCAGACAAAUGAGCACUCUGUCCACACACGAGUCUGGACGUGGAGGGUUCACAGCCAGAUACUGAGACAACCCAAACGUCCCCCAGGGGGUGAGCGGUCAGACUCACUGGCGUCCACCCAUAUCCACGCACGCAGGAACUUCCACGGCUCUCCCGGGCGGAGCGCAGGGUGAGAGAAGCCAACCUCCCCAGGUUAUGUGCGUUAGGAUCCCACUCCUAACGGAGGGAUGGAGAACACACUAGGGUGCGGGGAAGGGAGCGGGGCGUGCACCUCCCUACAAAGUGACGGCGCAGAGGAGAUCUUGCUAGACGUGGAGCAGUUCAGUGCUUGACUGCGGCAGUCACACCAACCCGCACAUGUGGAAGAUUGCCCAGACCUACACACACAUAAGUGCACAUAAGACAAAAAUCUAAAUAAGGUCUGAGGCCUGUACCCAAGUUCACUUCCCGGUUUUGCUGUCAUUACCCCGUAAGCUGUUGCCUUUGGCGAAAACUGGGUGAAGCGAACACGGCAUCGCUUGCAUGAUCUUUGCAACUUUUGGAGAAUGGAUCAUCGGGUCAGAAUGGAUAGCUAAAUGCAAUGCUGUGGACCCGUACAUGCCGGGUCUUGAGCCGUCAUGCUUGCUCCUGGCUCAAAAUUUCUCUGACCUGACCCCAUCCUGGCUCAUGCCCCAACCCAACCUUGAUCAUUAGUAAGGAGUGGACUUACAUUGAUAAUAUUUGCUGUUUCCCAAUCUUUGCAAAUGCUUCAAAUCCCUGUGGUUUUGAAUAUGCCAUUUUCUUCGUUUGAAGAGCACUGAUGGCCCUUCUCAGGUAGGAUGUCAGCUUCAUUCUUUGGAAAUUCAGUUCCAAACUCAUUCUUCUGGUGCACCCAUUUUAAUGAGAA